ACUAGUGUGGUGUAGUGGUUUGAGCGCUGGACUACGACUCUGGAGACCAGGGUUUGAAUCCCUGCUCAGCC